AGGACGAACGCUGGCGGCGUGCUUAACACAUGCAAGUGGAGCGACGAACCGGGGCUUGCCCCGGGGCAGAGCCGCGAACGGGUGAGUAACACGUGGGUAACCCACCUCGAUGAUUGGGACAACCCGGGGAAACUCGGGCUAAUACCAAAUGUGCUCGUAGACCAUGAGGUCAAUGAGUAAAGAUAGCUUCGGCCUUCGCAUCGAGACGGGCCCGCGGCCCAUUAGCUUGUUGGUGAGGUAACGGCUCACCAAGGCGACGAUGGGUAGCUGGUCUGAGAGGACGAUCAGCCACACUGGGACUGAGACACGGCCCAGACUCCUACGGGAGGCAGCAGUGGGGAAUCUUGCGCAAUGCGCGAAAGCGUGACGCAGCAACGCCGCGUGGAGGAGACGGUCUCGGAUUGUAAACUCCUUCAGUUGGACGAAGCUCAAGUGGUUAAUAGCCCAGCCGGAGUGACGUACCUUCGAGAACGAACGCCCCGAUAACGUACGUGCCAGCAGCCGUA
rnacentral:rRNA from 1 species